UGCAGUUGCUAGGCUGUCGUCGUUCCCGGAUGACUGUGGGAGUUAAUGGUCAUCAUCUCAGUUGGAGCUGGAAUUGGCCACAAGAUGAUCAAGGAAAUAAAGGUUGAAAGUUGGGACCUUUGAAGAAAAAAAAAAUGGGGCCAUUCUUCUGAUACAAUCCUAUAACAAUGAAGCUUCCAGUCACUGUGGAAGAGAAAACAGAUUCUUUGGCUUUUUCCAAUGUGUUAGAUGCUGGGGUUGUCUGAAUGGAAAGUCAAACAGCUAUGAGAAGAAGACGGUGGGUCCUGGCAGCUGCUUACAGAUCUUAGGGGAAAUUAACCUGAGUGGAAUGGGAUGCUCUCCACAAUGAAAUUCAGAAGACACAAACAGAAAUGAUUCACGUGAGGAGGAAAAUGGGGAGACUGAUGUGGCUGCACAGGGAGCUUAUCAACCAGUGGAGACUUCAAAAAGAUGCAUAUUGAAGAUGGA